UAUGGGAUUCAAAGCAGCUUCGAGUAUAGGUUAAAAUGAAAUGAAGUUAAAACAAUAUAAUAAAGAUGUUGCAGUUGGGAGAAAUAAAUCAUCAAGAACAACAGGUAUACCAACAGAGCUGCUUCAACCUACAGAGACAGAAUCUACUAUCAGUAUAUAUUCUAUCCCCAGGAAAGAGGACACUACAAAUCACGGUAACCACAGGACCAAUGCAUUAAUUCCCCAUACAAGCAAAGUCAGGCUCAAAAUUCUAUAAUAAAGACUCCUAUUACAUGAGAAAUGCCAAUGUCCAACCUGGGUUCAGGAAAGGAAGAGAUACUAGGGAUCAAAUUGCAGACAUACAUUGGAUAAUGCUGCAUAAUGUAUAAAUGUGUUUUGUAGAUUAUAGCCAAGGCUUUUGAUUUUGUAGCUCAUGAAAAAACUGUGGGUGAAUGUUACGUAAAUGGGUAUUUUGAUUUGAUUGUUUUGAUGUGUAACCUGUACUCAGUACAAGCAGGUACCAUUGGAACAGAAUACAUGGGGACAGAAGAGUUUUCAAUUGUCAAGGGAGUCAGAUUAAGAACAUAAGAACUUCAGAAGAGCUCUGCUGGAUCAGAUCAAGGGUCCAUCUAGUCCGGCAUUAUGUUUACAUCAGCUGGCCAUAUACCUCUGGGGUGCUUCUUAAGAAUAUCAGAAGAGCCUUACUGGAUCAGAUCAAAGGCCUAUCUAGUUUGCUGUUCAUCUCACUCCAUGGCUGAUGGAAAGCCCACAAGCAGCACAAGAGUACAAGAAUUACCUCCUCCAGAUGUUCCCCAGGAAAUGUUAUACAGGUACUUGAGGAGCUGCGAUGGCGAAAUGGGUUAAACCCUUGUACCAGCUGAACUGCUGACCUGAGGGUUGGUGGUUCGAAUCCGUGAUAUGGGGUUAGCUCCCAUCUGCAAUUUCUAGCUUGGGGAGACACGAGAGAAGCCUCCCAGAAAGAUGGUAACACAUCCGGGCAUCCCCUGGGCAACAUCUCUGUAGACGGCCAAUUCUCUCACACCAGAAGCGACUUCCAGUAUGUACUCAAGUCACUUCUGACAUGAUAAAAAAAAAAAGCCACAACUUUAAUCCCAGUUUUCUCUCUGCUUGAGUGCUGGCGGAAGGAAUCUUCCACAAAAACAUGAAUCCAAGGUUUGUUUGUUACCACUGCUUUCUCUCCCUUGGAAAAAUAACUCUGACAUCUAGGUGAUGGGAGUAAUUUUUUGCCUUCCAUCUUGUAUCAUCUUCUCAACUUGUACACAGUUGGUAAGCAAAGGGAGACUUUUGUAUUUCCAUUGCACCAGGCUAGAUAAUAAGUAGCAUGAAAAUUGGGCUAACAGGACAUUUUACAGUAAUAAAAUCCACAGCAAACCUGCUCAGUUGGCUUGGCAAACUGUUGCAACUUUGUUUGAAGAACAAGAAAGAAAAAAACAGAAUUGCUGAUAUAAAUUGGUAAGAGAGAAGAUAGAGCAGAGCCUGAUGCUUCUUAAGGUAAAUAAUAUGCAUUUUUUUGGGGGGGGGGAGUGGCUAAUACAAUAUUAGCCCCAGGGACAAAGAUAUUUUCUCUCUUAGAAGCAGUGCACAUUUUAUAGCCUCUUAGAAAAUAAUUUCAUUUUCCUUGUACCACUCAGGAAACCUGAUAGAAUGUGCAUUUCUAAAACUAAAAAGGCUAUACUGAUUAUUAAAAGACACAUAAAGUCAGGGGAUGCUUGAGGUAAACUUGCAUGGAAGGAGAAAUUAAAAACUCCACCUACUCCUGGGUAUACUAUUGUAGGGCUACAACAAUUUUUUCAAUUCAGUUUCACCACAGAUGCUUUUGAAAACAGUUGCAUUAAUAUUAGUCCUUUUGAACAAUAAUCAGGUCUAGUGCAUCCAAAGGCUUUACUGACUUUCUUCUUUCAUACCCUGUUACAAGACUAACAUAUAAAUUCAUUUCUGCUUGCUGUUUUGAAGAAUUUCAUCCCAAGAUGCACCUCAACUGAAAUGCCCCCAAGGAACAAAGCAAAGAUCAAUGGCUUGACUGAGGGGCAUCUCGUGAACAAUGAGUAUUUUUUAUUUGUAUUACAUCCAAGCUUAGAGCAAGCACAGAAGCAAAGCUGUAGUAGAAAGGAUCUGAGCAAAUACAAUCCCAGCUAAACUUUAUCUCUUUUCCAUGCCACACUGCACUAGUUCUUUCAUAGAAUCAUAGAGUUGGAAGAGGCCUCAUGGGCCAUCCAAUCCAACCCCCUGCUGAGAAGCAGGAAAUCGCAUUCAAAGCACCCCCGACAGAUGGCCAUCAAGCUUCCAUUUAAAAGCCUCCAAAGAAGGAGCCUCCACCACACUCCGGGGCAAAAAUCUUCCAGUUCCAAACAGCUCUCAUAGUGAGGAAGUUCUUCCUAAUGUUCAGGUGGAAUCUCCUUUCCUGAAGUUUGAAGCCUUUGUUCCGUGUCCUAAUCUCCAGGGCAGCAGAAAAC
ensembl:lncRNA